AGGCCUUCGGGGUACACGAGCGGCGAACGGGUGAGUAACACGUGGGUGAUCUGCCUCGUACUUCGGGAUAAGCCUGGGAAACUGGGUCUAAUACCGGAUAUGACUACAGGAUGCAUGUCUUGUGGUGGAAAGAUUUAUCGGUGCGAGAUGGGCCCGCGGCCUAUCAGCUUGUUGGUGGGGUAAUGGCCUACCAAGGCGACGACGGGUAGCCGACCUGAGAGGGUGACCGGCCACACUGGGACUGAGACACGGCCCAGACUCCUACGGGAGGCAGCAGUGGGGAAUAUUGCACAAUGGGCGGAAGCCUGAUGCAGCGACGCCGCGUGAGGGAUGACGGCCUUCGGGUUGUAAACCUCUUUCGACAGGGACGAAGCGCAAGUGACGGUACCUGUAGAAGAAGCACCGGCCAACUACGUGCCAGCAGCCGCGGUAAUACGUAGGGUGCGAGCGUUGUCCGGAAUUACUGGGCGUAAAGAGCUUGUAGGCGGUUCGUCGCGUCGAUCGUGAAAACCUACCGCUCAACGGUGGGCUUGCGGUCGAUACGGGCGGACUAGAGUACUUCAGG
rnacentral:rRNA from 1 species